UACGUAGGUGGCGAGCGUUGUCCGGAUUUACUGGGCGUAAAGGGCGCGUAGGCGGCCACCGCAAGUCGACUGUGAAAUCUCCGGGCUUAACCCGGAAAGGUCAGCCGAUACUGCGGGGCUAGAGUGCAGAAGGGGCAACUGGAAUUCUCGGUGUAGCGGUGAAAUGCGUAGAUAUCAGGAAGAACACCCGUGGCGAAGGCGGCUCUCUGGGACGGUACUGACGCUGAGACGCGAAAGCGUGGGGAGCGAACAGG
rnacentral:rRNA from 1 species